UACGUAGGGUGCAGGCGUAAUCGGAAUUACUGGGCGUAAAGCGUGCGCAGGCGGUCUUUUAAGUCAGAUGUGAAAGCCCCGGGCUCAACCUGGGAAUUGCAUUCGAGACUGAAUAGCUAGGGUGCGGUAGAGGGAAGCGGAAUUUCCGGUGUAGCGGUGAAAUGCGUAGAUAUCGGAAGGAACAUCAGUGGCGAAAGCGGUUCUCUGGGCCUUACCUGACACUGAGGAGCGAAAGCGUGGGGAGCGAACAGG
rnacentral:rRNA from 1 species